GGGCAGGAAACAAGUUAGAUUUAUUAGAAGAUUUCUUAGUAGGAGCUUGUAGUAGCACUGAAAGAAGAUCUGGGCAUAAAUGACUUCUCUGGGAAAUAGCUGCUAAACUUGCACCUGAAGCAUCACCUCGCGUAAACAUGUUUCUAACAUUUUUCUAUUAAUAUUCCCAGUCGGACAGGAAACGCGUGGAUCUGCUUGGAUGAUGAGGAAGAUGAAGUGUUCCUGGGGACUCUUCAGGGGAGGCAGCAGCAAGGGGGAGAAAACGGCUGGUGAAAAUGCAAGGAUGCUUCCCAAGACUGCCCAGGAGGAGAGAAACAAGCAGGAAGCAAAGAAGAGAGGAAAACUGAAAAAUGUGACAAGAAAAUUGCUAAAGACUAUGGCUAGUGGGAAACGAGCAGCUGAAAAAAAGCCUGAAAAUGAGAAUUUGGCAGGGAGUUUGCUGAAGCUUGCAACGGGUAGGAAGGAAGUAGAAGGAAAGAAGUCUGCAGAGGAAACCAUCUGUGGAUUCAUUGAGCAAGGGAAAUUUUUUCAAGCUUGUAAACAUAUUUAUAAUCUGGAGCAUUCUGGAAGUGAUGGUGUGGGAAAGUCUGAAACACUUUAUACACUACUGGCUGAACAGAUGUGGUCCAUUGUGGGAAAAGCGUUCAGUGGAAGCGACAGGAUGUUACUGGAGCCGUUGCARUCAGUGGGCGAAUCGCUGAAGUGGGAGAAGCAGAAAGAAGAGGAGUGGUUUGGUAGCGGCCAAGCGAUGGAGCCUCUUUCCACCUGGAGUCCAAGAUUCUGGAAGAAAGACCUGGAGGAAAAGCUAAUAAAGUACAUGACAGCCCAGAUUCCCCCCUUCGGUUCCACUAGUAACACAGAUGAGACUGCAUUAAAACAGCAUCUGAGUCAACUGGAACUGAUGUUUCUGCCCAGCCUGGAGUGCAAAACUGGUCUCUUCGAGGAAGCAGGCCUGCUUGUCACGUACACCCGGUGCUCUCAUGCCUGCUUGUCUUCUCAUCUUUCCACCCUUACUGACAAUAACCAUGUUAGCUUCAACCAAUGCCUUUUAGUUUAUGAAUGGUGCCUUAAAAUGUACAAAAGUGGCAAUGGGACAUUGCUGGGACCCAGCCAGACCUCAUGCCACCACCUUUCCCUUGAYGCACAGUGCCUCAGGUGGAUUAUUUUGAAGACAGAGG
ensembl:lncRNA